rnacentral:lncRNA from 1 species
GAGAGGAUAUUCUUCAUAUUAGCCUUCAUCCAAUGAACCAAGGAUGAGAAGAAAAGAGAACUAGCAAGGAUGAUGAAAAAGCGACAAGUGAGCAAACAAUGAGUAAAAUAUAGAUGGAGGCAAUUAUCAAAGACAAAGAUUUAAGAGAGGAGAGAAAAAGAGUGAAAUAAAUAGAAGAGAACGAAAAGAAGCGAGUUUGGUGGUUGA